UAUCUGUUCUUAUCAGUUUAAUAUCUGAUAUGUCCUCCAGUGGAGGACAACAUAUUAAGCUGAUUUUUGAACAACGGAUGUGAAGGUGGAGCUUGCUCUAUUCACUCCAUGCAUUGACCCAGUAUUGCAGUGUUUCUGGGAACAGUGC
rnacentral:snRNA from 1 species